rnacentral:rRNA from 1 species
UUAGGAUGAACGCUAGCGACAGGCCUAACACAUGCAAGUCGAGGGGCAGCACAAGGAGCAAUCUGAGGUGGCGACCGGCGCACGGGUGAGUAACACGUAUGCAACCUGCCUGUAAGCGGGGAAUAACCCGUUGAAAGACGGACUAAUACCGCAUAAUACUAAAUUACUGCAUGGUAAUUUAUUUAAACAUUUAUGGCUUACAGAUGGGCAUGCGCAUGAUUAGCUAGUUGGAGAGGUAACGGCUCCCCAAGGCAACGAUCAUUAGGGGUUCUGAGAGGAAGGUCCCCCACACUGGUACUGAGACACGGACCAGACUCCUACGGGAGGCAGCAGUGAGGAAUAUUGGUCAAUGGACGAGAGUCUGAACCAGCCAAGUCGCGUGCAGGAAGAAUGUCCUAUUGGAUUGUAAACUGCUUUUGCAGGGGAAUAAAGUGCAUCACGUGUGAUGUUUUGUAUGUACUCUGCGAAUAAGGAUCGGCUAACUCCGUGCCAGCAGCUGC